rnacentral:rRNA from 1 species
UACGUAGGGUGCAAGCGUUGUCCGGAAUUAUUGGGCGUAAAGAGCUCGUAGGCGGUCUGUCGCGUCUGCUGUGAAAACUCAGGGCUUAACCCUGAGCUUGCAGUGGGUACGGGCAGACUAGAGUGCGGUAGGGGAGACUGGAAUUCCUGGUGUAGCGGUGAAAUGCGCAGAUAUCAGGAGGAACACCGGUGGCGAAGGCGGCGACCUGGGUAGAUACUGACGCUGAGGUGCGAAAGCGUGGGGAGCAAACAGG